rnacentral:lncRNA from 1 species
UCACUACAACAAAAACGGUCUAUAGCGACACUUUUAAAUGUCGGUACAGGUCAAAAAAAGUACUGCUGACUAAAUUACCGACACUUUUAAAAAGUGUUGCUAUAUGUGGGAUCACUAGGUAUAUAGUGACGGUUAAAGAGUGUCGCUAUAACCUAAAAAAGUGCUGCUAAUUUACAAACAUUUAUUUAAGCAUUUAGCAACCGCCGGAACUCUAUCUCGUUGGCUGCGGUGGCGGAGGAGGACAAGAGGAAAGGAUCUUCGUCUAGGAUUUCAGUCGAUUGAGUGAGGAGAGAAGGGGAAAUGGUAAUCGAUUUUUCUUUUCUUUUUCUUUUCUGCUUGUAAUCGGGCCGAAUGAGCUGAGUGGGGUGGGUUGAGUAGAGUAAUCUUUUAUUUUUGGUUGGAUUAGACUUUAUAUUUAGGCAUUAGUA